CUGUUGGGUUCGGGCGACACUAUGUUUCGAACCUGGUCAGGGUCGGAAGACAGCAGCCAUAAGAUGCCUCUAGUGGGUGUCCGCACCCAACAGGCAC
rnacentral:SRP_RNA from 2 species